rnacentral:lncRNA from 1 species
GCUAUCAUUCGCAGCAACAUUACUCUUGUAUUUUGACCAUGAAAUCCAAUCACAACUAGUUAUGUUCUACAACAGAAAUCCUGAUCUACUUCAACACUAGACACAAAACCUAGCGGUUUUCCAUAUACAGAUCAUGAUCGAGCCAAAGAGAACGAUCUAAGAGAGAGCGACAGAACUUGCGCGAGACAGAGCAAAUAAGAGAGAGGAAUAGAGAGAGAACCUGAUCCAGUGAAUCCGAUCCAGAGAGAAACACCGAUCGAGCAAGCAAGCGUUCGAUCUCCGAGAAAAAAUCAGGUCUUCACGAUCUC